rnacentral:lncRNA from 1 species
GGACAGAAGCUUCAGCACCGCACCAUUCAACCAAUCAAAAUUCACUACCAACUCAACACUCAACCAACUUCUACACUCAAAACCACGGAACCAUCCCUCUCCCUUUUCAUUCCUACACCGCAAACCACUACACUUCAUUUUCAUCGUGAGGCAUCCGAGAGCAAGGGAGGGAACGUGAGUGAAAUCUUCUUUCCAUAUUGCUCUGACCGUAAGCUGGAGGAAAGGCAGAGAGGGACCGUGAG